rnacentral:tRNA from 1 species
CGGAGUAUGCUGUAACAGGAAGCCAGGCAUGACUUAGGAUCAUGUGCAGUAGUGCGUGUGGGUUCGAGUCCCACUACUCCGA